ensembl:snRNA U2 U2 spliceosomal RNA
AUCGCUUCUCGGCCUUUUGGCUAAGAUCAAGUGUAGUAUCUGUUCUUAUCAGUUUAAUAUCUGAUAUGUCCUCCAUUUGAGGACAGCAUAUUAAAUUGAUUUUUGGAACAGGGAUGUGGAAAAGGAGCUUGCUCCAUCCACUCCACGCAUCAGCCUGGUAUUGCAGUACUUCCAGGAAUGGUGCACUUCCC